rnacentral:misc_RNA from 1 species
UUGCAUUAGGGAUAGAAGCGAUAUCCUUUUGAGAAGCAAUAGCGAACAAAAGAUUUAGCGAAUAGCCCGGGCCUCU